rnacentral:rRNA from 1 species
UACGAAGGGGGCUAGCGUUGUUCGGAUUUACUGGGCGUAAAGCGCACGUAGGCGGAUUGUUAAGUGAGAGGUGAAAUCCCGGAGCUCAACUCCGGAACUGCCUUUAAGACUGCAUCGCUUGAAUCCAGGAGAGGUGAGUGGAAUUCCGAGUGUAGAGGUGAAAUUCGUAGAUAUUCGGAAGAACACCAGUGGCGAAGGCAGUGUCCUGGGGAGUACCUGACGCUCAGGUGCGAAAGCCAGGGGAGCGAACGGG